GCCACAUGAUGAUAUCAAGGCUGUUGUGAUUCAGUUGGUUGGCUAAGUCUAGGGACCUUUGACUGUAAUCAGGUCUGUAAUCUUGGUGGGCAAUACCGAGUUAUGUGCGUUCACUGUAAGGGCGGACCAACAGGAACUUUCUCCUACUUUGGAACCACCUCACUUCCAUAGGGGUGAUUCUUCAGUUGUCAGAGAGAGAGAAUUGAGGUAACUGAAAUGAGAGUAGGAACAGGGCAUAUUCAAGGUACGAAGGUCAAGGGUCUCAAAGGACUUAGCUGUGUCAUGACCACUGAGAGAUGAAACAUAUAUCUUUGGUAAUCUGAUGGCU
ensembl:snoRNA